rnacentral:ncRNA from 1 species
AGGGGCCGUAUGAGGUGAAAAUCUCAUGUACGGUUUUGGAAGGAGAAUUCUUUGAAUCGAAUGACGACCGUAAC